rnacentral:lncRNA from 1 species
AAACAAUAGUAAUAGAAUACAGGAGAUUCAAUAGGCAUUGGUCAAUCAGCUGCUACCUUUAAAACUCAUUGUACAUAAUCCCUAGCAAAGAAGUCCAUCUCAAUGUCUAGGGCCAAAUAACUAAGCACAUGUACAAAAAAUGCAAAAAUAAACAUGUGUAUGUACUAAACCACAUGUACUCAGCAACAUCAUACUGAUCUUAAUUCAAAGUGAUGGCGAGAA